UAAGGAUACUGACCGUCCCUAGCGCAAGUGGCAAAAGGAUUGAUGGUUGGUACCUGAGGUCCCAAGUUCAAAUCCUAGUUGAUUCACAUUUUCAGGUAAGUUUAUUUCUAAAUAAAAUAAACGAACCGAAUAGCAUGCUACCUAUCUCUCUCUCAAAAAAAAGAAGAAGAUUAGGAUUAGGAUAUUUAUCAAAAUAUUCAUUAGGAAACAUGUUUCUUAACUAAUAAGAAAUAAAUAAUUCAUCCUUGUCCUUAACUUAUUAAGAUAAAUCU
rnacentral:lncRNA from 1 species